rnacentral:lncRNA from 1 species
GAGGAGGCGGUGCGAAGGGCGGUGCAUUGUUUGACUACUGUUGCGGCGACUGGAAACCUAGGCUGUUAUGGUUUUUUUGUUUUCUUUUUUUAAAAGUGUUUGGAGCUGUUUUGUUGGGCUAGGGUUUAGGUUUAGUUAGGUUUGGGCUAUUUUUUGGUUUUGGGCCAUAUAGGCCUGCUGGAUUUGUAAGUGGAUUGGAACUUUGUUUUUUAUUUGGUUUUUAUUUAUUUUUUGUUUAUUGCUGCAUGGGCCCGGGCAAAUUGGGCCAUUUACAAUAUGUAUUACGUUAGUCCAAAAAGAUAGUUGAUAAUACAACACUAAUAAAAAUAACAAGAAAAAUAAACGUCAUAUUUAAUUUUAUCUAAUUGUUCUAAUGUUCCAUAUUUGUUGGAUUAUUCCCUCUUUAAUAUUUAACAUAACCUUCUUUUCAUCAAAUAUUAGUCCUUG